UAUAAUGGGUCAUCGACUUGGUCUCACGAGCAAGCUUAAGCCGUUAGGUGUAGGCGCAGCGAAAGCGAGUCUUAAUAGGGCGUUGAGUUCGUGGGAUCAGACCCGAAACCGAGUGAUCUAGGCAUGACCAGGAUGAAGGUAAGGUAACACUUACUGGAGGUCCGAACCCACACCUGUUGAAAAAGGUCGGGAUGAGUUGUGCCUAGGGGUGAAAGGCCAAUCAAACUCGGAGAUAGCUGGUUCUCUGCGAAAUCUAUUUAGGUAGAGCGUCAUCCGAAUACCCUCGGGGGUAGAGCACUGGAUGGGUAAUGGGGCCCCACAGGCUUACUGAUCCUAACCAAACUCCGAAUACCGAGGAGUACUAGAUGGCAGACACACGGCGAAUGCUAACGUCCGUCGUGAAGAGGGAAACAACCCUGACCUCCAGCUAAGGCCCCUAAUUCAUGGCUAAGUGGGAAAGCAGGUGAGACGACCAAAACAACCAGGAGGUUGGCUUAGAAGCAGCCAUCCUUUAAAGAUAGCGUAACAGCUCACUGGUCUAAAUAAGUUGUCUUGCGGCGAAGAUGUAACGGGGCUCAAGCCAUGAGCCGAAGCUGAGGAUGCACUAGUUGCAUGGUAGCAGAGCGUAGUGUGACAUAAUUCCAUGUCUCCUUAACCCUUCGGGGUAUUGGAGACGCGGAGUUUUCUGUGAAGCCGGCGCGUGAGCGAUCCGGUGGAGAGAUCACUAGUGAGAAUGAUGACAUGAGUAGCGACAAAGAGUGUGAGAGACACUCUCGCCGAAAGUCCAAGGGUUCCUGCUUAAAGCUAAUCUGAGCAGGGUAAGCCGACCCCUAAGGCGAGGCCGAAAGGCGUAGUCGAUGGGAACCAGGUUAAUAUUCCUGGGCCAGAUGGAAGUGACGGAUUUCGAGGGUAGUUCAUCCUUAUUGGAUUGAAUGGGCUGCUUAGAAGUCCCUGGAAAUAGCUCCAUCGCUAGAUCGUACCCUAAACCGACACAGGUGGACUGGUAGAGAAUACCAAGGCGCUUGAGAGAACUAUGUUGAAGGAACUCGGCAAAAUACCUCCGUAAGUUCGCGAGAAGGAGGCCCGGUUCCUAGGCAACUAGGGGCUGGGGGCACAAACCAGGGGGUGGCGACUGUUUAUUAAAAACACAGGGCUCUGCGAAGUCGCAAGACGACGUAUAGGGUCUGACGCCUGCCCGGUGCCUGAAGGUUAAAAGGAGGGGUGAGAGCUCUGAAUUGAAGCCCAGGUAAACGGCGGCCGUAACUAUAACGGUCCUAAGGUAGCGAAAUUCCUUGUCGGGUAAGUUCCGACCUGCACGAAUGGCGUAACGACUUCCCCGCUGUCUCCAACAUAGACUCAGCGAAAUUGAAUUACCUGUCAAGAUGCAGGUUUCCCGCGGUUAGACGGAAAGACCCCGUGCACCUUUACUACAACUUCACACUGGCAUUAGGCCGAACAUGUGCAGGAUAGGUGGUGGGCUUUGAAGCGUGGACGCCAGUCUGCGUGGAGCCUCCCUUGAGAUACCACCCUUGUUCUGCUUGAUGUCUAACCGCGGUCCGUUAUCCGGAUCCGGGACCCUGUGUGGUGGGUAGUUUGACUGGGGCGGUCGCCUCCUAAAUCGUAACGGAGGCGCGCGAAGGUUGGCUCAGAGCGGUCGGAAAUCGCUCGUUGAGUGCAAUGGCAGAAGCCAGCCUGACUGCAAGACUGACAAGUCGAGCAGAGUCGAAAGACGGCCAUAGUGAUCCGGUGGUCCCAAGUGGGAGGGCCAUCGCUCAACGGAUAAAAGGUACGCCGGGGAUAACAGGCUGAUACUGCCCAAGAGUCCAUAUCGACGGCAGUGUUUGGCACCUCGAUGUCGGCUCAUCUCAUCCUGGGGCUGGAGCAGGUCCCAAGGGUACGGCUGUUCGCCGUUUAAAGAGGUACGUGAGCUGGGUUUAGAACGUCGUGAGACAGUUCGGUCCCUAUCUUCCGUGGGUGUAGGAUACUUGAGAGGAGUUGCCCCUAGUACGAGAGGACCGGGGUGAACGAUCCACUGGUGGACCUGUUGUUGCGCCAGCAGCAGUGCAGGGUAGCUAUGAUCGGACAGGAUAACCGCUGAAGGCAUCUAAGCGGGAAGCCCCCCUCAAAACAAGGUAUCCCUG
rfam:Oceanibulbus sp. HI0023 HI0023_c315, whole genome shotgun sequence.